GAUUAACGCUGGCGGCAUGCCUAAUACAUGCAAGUCGAACGGAAGCAGCAAUGCUUUAGUGGCGAACGGGUGAGUAACACGUAGGGAACCUACCUAUACGACGAGGAUAACUACUGGAAACGGUAGCUAAAACUGGAUAGGAUCAAUUGAGGCAUCUUGAUUGAUUUAAAGAUCCUUCGGGAUUACGUAGAGAUGGCCCUGCGGCGCAUUAGCUAGUUGGUGAGGUAACGGCCCACCAAGGCGACGAUGCGUAGCUGAGCUGAGAGGAUGAUCCGCCACACUGGGACUGAGACACGGCCCAGACUCCUACGGGAGGCAGCAGUGGGGAAUUUUGGACAAUGGGGGCAACCCUGAUCCAGCCAUGCCGCGUGAGUGAAGAAGGCCUCGGUUGUAAGCUCUUCGUACGGAAGAAAUACGACCGCCUCUAACACCAGGCGGUGGAGUGACGGUA
rnacentral:rRNA from 1 species